ACAGCUUGCAUUGUUUGCAUGCACCCUGAGGUGCUUCUUUAGAGAAGCAUCAUGCUGAGGAAAGAAGGAGUCCGGCAAAAUCAGUUAGGUGCCAUAACAAAGCAGGUGCCAGAGGAAUGGGUUAUAAAUAAAAAUGGAAAUAACCAUGUUCCCUGUGUGAGAUCAUAGUGCUUUUCAGAAGCUGAAGAACACCAGCACCACCUGGGAGGAACAGAAUAGAACACCUGAGAGACACCACUGCAGAAAUAUUUAUGUGGAUUUGGGGCGAGGUGGAAGGCUGUGCUUCAGCAAUCAGCAUUUUCCAGUACAAUGCGACAAAGGUGUGAACAUGAAGUAAAUAAUCGUUGAGGAGUUUUCAUUUAAAUUUCUGCAUACCAGAGAAAAAUGGUCUAUUUCCUUAUGAAUUUCAUCCCAAGAGGCUUGAUACAGAGUGACCAAGGUUCAAUCCUGGGGAGGUCAGAAGCUACAGUUAGCAGAGGAGGAGACAUGCUAAGACGAGAAAGAUGAUGAAGCCCUUCUGUUUCUACCCCUUUGCAUUUAUUCAGCCCAAGAGCCCAGAUAAGAGCUAAAGGAGAGAUUGGAGGUGAUCUCUUUCUCACUCCUCUACAAUUACAAAAUCUGAGAGUCAAGAAGGUUUGGAAGGAGACUGCUGCAAAUAACUCUUCCGUGAGAAGUUGGGGGGUUUGCAUCAUGGAAUUUAUAUAGACAAUUUCUGCAAAUAUCCCUUCAAUGUCAAGCCAACAAAGUAAAAUGUCAAGGGCCUACAUCUUAAGAGGGGGCUAGUUUUUAGGAUAAUUUUUCUAACAGUCUUUUGAGAUUUAUUCCUGUUUUCAUUUUGAGCAAAAUGAUUUCAAAACAUGACAUUAAAAAGUACCAGAUGGCAAC
rnacentral:lncRNA from 13 species